UACGAAGGGGGCUAGCGUUGCUCGGAAUCACUGGGCGUAAAGCGCACGUAGGCGGAUCUUUAAGUCAGGGGUGAAAUCCCAAGGCUCAACCUUGGAACUGCCUUUGAUACUGGGGAUCUCGAGUCCGGAAGAGGUGAUGGAACUGCGAGUGUAGAGGUGAAAUUCGUAGAUAUUCGCAAGAACACCAGUGGCGAAGGCGGCUCACUG
rnacentral:rRNA from 1 species